rnacentral:rRNA from 1 species
GACGAACGCUGGCGGCGUGCUUAACACAUGCAAGUCGAACGGAAAGGCCUGCUUUCCCUUGUGGAUUGCGGGUACUCGCGUGGCGAACGGGUGAGUAACACGUGAGUGAUCUGCCCCCAACUUUGGUAUAAGCCUGGGAAACUGGGUCUAAUUCCCGAUAGGACUGCAGGGUGGUGCCUGUGGUUGAAAACGAUGUUCUAGUGGUUGGGGAUGAGCUCGCGGCGUAUCAGCUUGUUGGUGGGGUAAUGGCCUACCAAGGCGGGGACGGGAAGCCGGCCUGGGAGGGUGGACGUCAACAUUGGGACUGAGACACGGCCCAGACGCCUACGCGAGGAAGCAGUGGGGAAUAUGGCACGAUGGGCGGAGGCCUAAUGCAGCAACGCCGAGUGGGGAAUGACGGCCUUCGGGUUGUGGACUCCUUUCGACCGAGAGGAAGCCACCUGGUUGGAAGGGUGGUGACGGUAGUGGUAGAAGAAGCACCGGCUAACUACGUG